rnacentral:misc_RNA from 1 species
UAUAAAUGAAGCUCUCUCUUGCAUUUAAAAUAGCCUCUAAACGGUACACAAUUUUUUAAUUUACAAGUGGCUUCUGUGUAAACUAUGAAUCUCACGUAGUUAAAUGAUUAGCAUCUGUACACCAACUACACUGUAGUGUAUAUCCAUUCCAAUGGUUUCAAGUAGGUUUAACAAUGCAGAUGACCUUAUUUUAACACUUACGAGCUAGCUAAUUGUAAUGUGAGAAAGGGGAGGCACACAUCAGUUGAAACACUUGCAUGGAAAUGCUGAAGUCUGUGUUUCCAAUAAAGCAUACAAGUGAAUCCAGGAAGGCACCAUACCUUAAUGGCAGAUAACCACACUGAUAUCCAGGAAGGUCAGGUUGUUGGCCUUGUCAUGGUAGAUAAACCACGCCCUACAGGUAUAGUUCCCUGAAAGCUGUCAUCUGUCUCUUCCACUUCCAAGGGAGCAGUAAUCUCGUCACCAGCUUGACUGCCAGCUACCCCAAUGCAUGAAUAUAAAGAAUCCUCAUCCACCUUCAACUGUUCAUAUGCGAGAUAUAUGUCCUCAAUAGUGGUCGCUUCAUAUAGUGAAGUGAGAUCUUUAAUACAUGAAAUUUCCUUCCUGGGAACUGAAGAAGCUUGCAAAUGAGCUAGCAAUCCAAGCCAAUAGACAUUUGACUUGAUUUCAGCUUCAUGUCUCAUAAGAAGUGUACGUUUAGCCCUGUCCAACUCCCUUUGGGCAAUUUUGUUGCUAUGCAACCCUCUUAGAACACUCUUACAUGCAUCAACAGCUUUAUAUACCUUGCCUGGAGUUGAUGUUACAGAUAUCACAUACCAUCCAAGCUUAAGCCUAUCAAAUAGGCUUAACUCAAAUGACACAUCAUACGUUAAUCCAAGAGAAUCUCUGACUGUGGUGAAAAGCCUUGAAUUUAUGAUCUCAGCAAGCAGCCCCAUUGUUAUGCCAAAAAAAAGUGGAUGACUGCGAAGUUUUCUUUGUGAAUCUUUCUGAACAUCCUUCCCUUCUACCAAUUGGUCCUCUGAUUUUGGUGGUGUAACUGGUGCAGCUGAAAAGUCACUAAUUGACUCAAACAAGUCUUUUCCAUCAACUGUAAAACCCCAACGAUUGGGAGCAGGACCAGCAAUGUAUGCACAUGCUCUCUCAUCUGUAUCCUUUAAGAAUACUUGUUGAAACUGUAAAUCAGAUGGCGAUGGUCGGAAUACGACUCGACUAAAUUCUUUUUCCCUGUUGGAACCUCUUGUUGCUCUAACUGUGCCCAGGUAAUCAAUAAUACAAGACUCAAUCUCUUCCUCUGAGAAGUCCCCAACAAUGCUUACCUCCAUGUUACCGCCUACAAACUGAUUCAUCACGGCAUCCUUUACGGAUUUCAGUGUUAAAUUUUGUAAUGAUAGUGGCGUUGGUUCAACAAAUCGUUCAUCUCCAUUCAACAUUGCCAUCAUGAGUUUGUGAGCAGUUGCACGUUCCAAGCUUUUGGGAAUGGACCGGUAGUAUGACAAAUAUAAUUGUCUUGCUCUAUCAAAUGCAUCUUCCAGCCAAACGCUAUGCUCAAGCACCAUAUGAAGUAGCUCAAAUGCUGCUCGCAUCCCAUUUUCUCGUAAAGUAAAACGGAACUCCAUACAUAUGAAUUCCUCUGUUGACUCCAACGAGCAAUUUAUCAAGUGAUUCACGCAAAAAAGUUCUACCUGCUCCCUUGAAAAGUUGCCAACACGACCUCCCUCGCUGAGAGUUCGAACGCCCACAAUAACAGCUCCUUUCGACUCAGAACUUUCAACAGCUCGCCCUCCACCAACAAUAAGCCGCAUUACACCUCCCCGGGAUUCACUUUUUGAGAUCUUGUAAUUUACAGCAAUUCCAUUUGAAAGAAGACAUUGAGUUAUUCCUGUGUCCUUGUCAUGUAAUUUUGUGACAUUUACUUCUGGAAGUAAUGGCACAAAGGUGGGUCGGCGUUGUAACCUUAACUCUUCCAACUGUGAUGAAGAUAUAAGCUCUUUUGGCACUUCGAGCUCUGGCUCAGCCUCAAUUGGUUCCUCCAAUCCUGAUCUCAUGGCAGCAGUGAUCUCACUUGGAGAUAUCUUGAACUCAGUUUCGCCCAGUCCAUCAAUAUGCACUUUAUUUGGAACACACGCAACAAUUGCUGCGGGAAGUGGUGCAGUGGGUUUUCCAAAAUCUGAGAUAAAUUCUAAUACCUUGGCACCAAUAGAAUUAACCUCUUCAAGAGUGACUGUCCCAGCGACAGCAACCAAACUCUGAUGGCCUUGUCUCUGAUCCAUCACAG